UGCCCCUGGCAGUGGGCAAAGAGACUUUGUUAGUACUGUUGUUCUUUUAUCAGUCAGGGGCAGAGCAGAUGGCAGUCCUUUGUUCAUCCUAGCUUGAUGCCUGGCUUGAUGGCCAAAGCUGUCUUAUGCCUAGGACUCAAAA